GGGCCCGCACAAGCGGUGGAGCAUGUGGUUUAAUUCGAUGCAACGCGAAGAACCUUACCAGGUCUUGACAUCCUACGAAUACUUAGGAAACUAGGUAGUGCCUUCGGGAGCGUAGAGACAGGUGGUGCAUGGUUGUCGUCAGCUCGUGUCGUGAGAUGUUGGGUUAAGUCCCGCAACGAGCGCAACCCUUGCUAUUAGUUGCUAACAUUUUAAGAUGAGCACUCUAAUGGGACUGCCCGUGACAAGCGGGAGGAAGGUGGGGAUGACGUCAAAUCAUCAUGCCCUUUAUGAUCUGGGCUACACACGUGCUACAAUGGGUGGUACAGAGAGCAGCGAAGUCGCGAGGCGGAGCGAAUCUCAUAAAGCCACUCUCAGUUCGGAUUGCAGUCUGCAACUCGACUGCAUGAAGUCGGAAUCGCUAGUAAUCGCGAAUCAGCACGUCGCGGUGAAUGCGUUCCCGGGCCUU
rnacentral:rRNA from 1 species